GACGUAGGGCGCAAGCGUUGUCCGGAUUUAUUGGGCGUAAAGAGCUCGUAGGCGGCUCGUUGCGUCGGCUGUGAAAACCCGCAGCUCAACUGUGGGCCUGCAGCCGAUACGGGCAGGCUAGAGUUCGGUAGGGGAGACUGGAAUUCCUGGUGUAGCGGUGAAAUGCGCAGAUAUCAGGAGGAACACCGGUGGCGAAGGCGGGUCUCUGGGCCGAUACUGACGCUGAGGAGCGAAAGCGUGGGGAGCGAACAGG
rnacentral:rRNA from 1 species